CUCGGUCUCCUGCUCGCCGCGGACGUCGCCUCAUCAGCGCUCGUUUGUGAGUGAGCGAGCGGGUUAGCAGCAGCAGCCUCCUCGGCAUCUGAGUGUGAGGGGGGAGAAACACACAUUUAGAUUCAGACAACGUGACUGCAUGCUACGAGAGCUGCUACACGCCUGAAAGCAGCAGCAGCAGCAGCAGCAGCAGUGAGCCUGGAGAGGACCGGCUGGCUGCUGGAGCUGAUCCGGGCUUUCACAAAGCAAGGUUUUCUACAGCCAGAAAUCCCAGAUUGCUGCACAAACACACACACACNAA